GACGAACGCUGGCGGCGUGCUUAACACAUGCAAGUCGAACGGCAAGGCCCUGCUUUUUUGGGGUUCUCGAGUGGCGAACGGGUGAGUAACACGUGAGUAACCUGCCCUUGACUUUGGGAUAACUUCAGGAAACUGGGGCUACUAUCGGAUAGGAGCUCCUGCUGCAUGGUGGGGGUUGGAAAGUUUCGGCGGUUGGGGAUGGACUCGCGGCUUAUCAGCUUGUUGGUGGGGUAGUGGCUUACCCAGGCUUUGACGGGUAGCCGGCCUGAGAGGGUGAACGGCCACAAUGGGACUGAGAGACGGACCAGACUGCUACGGGAGGCAGCAGGGGGGAAUAUUGCACAAUGGGCGGAAGCCUGAUGAAGAAACGCCGCGUGCGGGAUGACGGCCUGCGGGUUGUAAACCGCUUUAGCCUGUGACGAAGCGUGAGUGACGGUAAUGGGUAAAGAAGCACCGGCUAACUACGUG
rnacentral:rRNA from 1 species